rnacentral:rRNA from 1 species
UGGGGAAUCUUGCACAAUGGGGGAAACCCUGAUGCAGCGACGCCGCGUGAGCGAUGAAGGUUUUCGAAUCGUAAAGCUCUGUCCUAUGGGAAGAUAAUGACGGUACCAUAGGAGGAAGCCCCGGCUAACUACGUGCCAGCAGCAGCGGUAAUACGUAGGGGGCGAGCGUUGUCCGGAAUUACUGGGCGUAAAGGGUUCGCAGGCGGCAUGACAAGUCCGAUGUAAAAGGCGAAAGCUCAACUUUCGUAAGCAUCGGAAACUGUCAAGCUUGAGUGAAGGAGAGGCAAGUGGAAUUCCUAGUGUAGCGGUGGAAUGCGUAGAUAUUAGGAGGAAUACCGGUGGCGAAGGCGACUUGCUGGACUUCAACUGACGCUGAGGAACGAAAGCGUGGGUAGCAAACAGG